UUUUUGGAGAGUUUGAUCCUGGCUCAGGGUGAACGCUGGCGGCGUGCUUAAGACAUGCAAGUCGAACGGGCUCUUCGGAGCCAGUGGCGCACGGGUGAGUAACGCGUAACUGACCUACCCCAAAGUCGCGGAUAACGAUUCGAAAGAAUCGCUAAUACGUGAUGUGCUGUCAGAUCUUGUUCUGCCAGUAAAGAUUGAUUGCUUUGGGAUGGGGUUGCGUUCCAUCAGCUAGUUGGUGGGGUAAAGGCCCACCAAGGCGACGACGGAUAGCCGGCCUGAGAGGGUGGCCGGCCACAGGGGCACUGAGACACGGGUCCCACUCCUACGGGAGGCAGCAGUUAGGAAUCUUCCACAAUGGGCGAAAGCCUGAUGGAGCGACGCCGCGUGAGGGAUGAAGGUCUUCGGAUCGUAAACCUCUGAAUCAGGGACGAAAGACACUUCGGUGGGAUGACGGUACCUGAGUAAUAGCACCGGCUAACUCCGUGCCAGCAGCCGCGGUAAUACGGAGGGUGCAAGCGUUACCCGGAAUCACUGGGCGUAAAGGGCGUGUAGGCGGACACUUAAGUCUGGUUUUAAAGACUGCGGCUCAACCGCAGGGAUGGACUGGAUACUGGGUGUCUUGACCUCUGGAGAGAGA
rnacentral:rRNA from 1 species